GGGUGGGAUUGGUGUGGUUUGUGCUUUGCAUCCUGCAAAGUUGCAGGAAUGGGGUUGUCUCCAUCCAGACUUCAAAGGAUGGUCUAGAAAGCCUCAGGGUUCAGGAAGAUAACUAAUAGGAAUGAGGAUACAGCAAAGCCCUGCCUAAGCUCUUAAUAGAUGAGACUUGAAGCACAUACCUUUUUGCAGUCUUAUCUACAACGACAAUAUUGAAUUAUUCGGGAGUCCAAAGACUUGUAAACUAUUGCUGUAAGUUGAUCUCUUCAAGUCUCAUGAAUCCACCAAAAGUGAAGGAGGAAAUCGAAAUUGGACCAAACCAAAAUAGGAGAUCAUCUAGCAUGUCUAAUAGACCAACAAGUCAUGUCCUGUGGCUCCAGGCCUGCUAUUUCACAGCAUACCAAAAUCAACCACAGCCUUUGCCUCCGACCUCACCCAUGUCAAGGGCAGAGACAGGGCUGCCCCAGGGAAGAUGGAAUUUAUGAAAAUGUGUUUGUUCUUUCUUGUUUUUAUCCAGAACUCCCCAGAGAAGUAGCAUUAACUUUCAGUGAAACAAAGCCAAUUCAAAUCUAA